rnacentral:rRNA from 1 species
UACGGGGGAUGCAAGCGUUAUCCGGAUUUAUUGGGUUUAAAGGGUGCGUAGGCUGUGAGGUAAGUCAGCGGUGAAAUGCCCCCGCUCAACGGGGUGAAGUGCCAUUGAUACUGCCUUGCUGGAAUGCGGAUGCCGUGGGAGGAAUGUGUGGUGUAGCGGUGAAAUGCAUAGAUAUCACACAGAACACCGAUUGCGAAGGCAUCUCACGAAUCCGCGAUUGACGCUGAUGCACGAAAGCGUGGGGAGCAAAUAGG